rnacentral:rRNA from 1 species
UAGGGAAUCUUCGGCAAUGGACGAAAGUCUGACCGAGCAACGCCGCGUGAGUGAAGAAGGUUUUCGGAUCGUAAAACUCUGUUGUUAGAGAAGAACAAGGACGUUAGUAACUGAACGUCCCCUGAUGGUAUCUAACCAGAAAGCCACGGCUAACUACGUGCCAGCAGCCGCGGUAAUACGUAGGUGGCAAGCGUUGUCCGGAUUUAUUGGGCGUAAAGCGAGCGCAGGCGGUUUCUUAAGUCUGAUGUGAAAGCCCCCGGCUCAACCGGGGAGGGUCAUUGGAAACUGGGAGACUUGAGUGCAGAAGAGGAGAGUGGAAUUCCAUGUGUAGCGGUGAAAUGCGUAGAUAUAUGGAGGAACACCAGUGGCGAAGGCGGCUCGCUGGUCUGUAACUGACGCUGAGGCUCGAAAGCGUGGGGAGCAAACAGG